GAUGAACGCUGGCGGCGUGCCUAAUACAUGCAAGUCGAGCGAACGGGCGAGAAGCUUGCUUCUCUGAUGUUAGCGGCGGACGGGUGAGUAACACGUGGAUAACCUACCUAUAAGACCGGGAUAACUUCGGGAAACCGGAGCUAAUACCGGAUAAUAUUUUGAACCGCAUGGUUCAAAAGUGAAAGACGGUCUUGCUGUCACUUAUAGAUGGAUCCGCGCUGCAUUAGCUAGUUGGUAAGGUAACGGCUUACCAAGGCAACGAUGCAUAGCCGACCUGAGAGGGUGAUCGGCCACACUGGAACUGAGACACGGUCCAGACUCCUACGGGAGGCAGCAGUAGGGAAUCUUCCGCAAUGGGCGAAAGCCUGACGGAGCAACGCCGCGUGAGUGAUGAAGGUCUUCGGAUCGUAAAACUCUGUUAUUAGGGAAGAACAUAUGUGUAAGUAACUGUGCACAUCUUGACGGUACCUAAUCAGAAAGCCACGGCUAACUACGUG
rnacentral:rRNA from 1 species